rnacentral:rRNA from 1 species
UGGGGAAUAUUGCACAAUGGGCGAAAGCCUGAUGCAGCAACGCCGCGUGAGUGACGAAGGUCUUCGGAUUGUAAAGCUCUGUCUUUUGGGACGAUAAUGACGGUACCAAAGGAGGAAGCCACGGCUAACUACGUGCCAGCAGCCGCGGUAAUACGUAGGUGGCGAGCGUUGUCCGGAUUUACUGGGCGUAAAGGGUGCGUAGGCGGAUGUUUAAGUGAGAUGUGAAAUACCCGGGCUUAACUUGGGUGCUGCAUUUCAAACUGGAUAUCUAGAGUGCAGGAGAGGAGAAUGGAAUUCCUAGUGUAGCGGUGAAAUGCGUAGAGAUUAGGAAGAACACCAGUGGCGAAGGCGAUUCUCUGGACUGUAACUGACGCUGAGGCACGAAAGCGUGGGUAGCAAACAGGAUUAGAUACCCUGGUAGUCCACGCCGUAAACGAUGAGUACUAGGUGUAGGAGGUAUCGACCCCUUCUGUGCCGCAGUAAACACAUUAAGUACUCCGCCUGGGGAAGUACGAUC